CAGGUCGAGAAUCACCUUCAUCUCCAUUUUUCCAUGGCCCGUUCCAUCUCACAAACCCUAAAUCUCAUCCGAUCGAAUUGCGCAACCGCAACCGGCGCGUCCUUCCUGCCUCCCGGCGCCAAAUCGUCGUCAUCGGCGGUCGUUAAUUCAAUUCGUCUGACGUCCUCGCGGAGCGUUUCGAGCCAUCCCGACAGCUCCGUUAAGAAUGCGUCCGGCGACGUCUCCGAGGCGGAUGCAGUGGCGGUGCAGCGAAUCGAGGACGCCAUCCACCGUAUCAUAGUCCGCCGAUCCGCUCCCGAUUGGCUCCCGUUUGUUCCCGGUGCAUCUUAUUGGGUUCCACCGCGUCGCGGUUCGUACGGUAUUGCCGACCUUGUUCAUAAGCUGUCCAAUUCACUUUCCGAAGAAGAGGUUAUGGCCCUCACCACUGAUCGUGGCUGGCCGUCGUCCUCUUUUUUUGUAGACGAAACACAUGCUGACCCCAAAAGCACCUCUAAGGAUGAGGAAGAAAAAUGAUAGACCUUACCUUUGACUUAAUUGUUGUCUGAGGACUGCUGGUACAAGCGGUCUGUACAUUUAUGCUUCACUUGGAGGGCUCUGUUUCACGAUGGAAGAUACACACCUGUAAAUAUACCAACUGCUAUAGCCAAUUUGCCAUGGUGGCUUUGUAUUGUUCAUUCGACUUUACUGUCUUUCCCCUUUCUUUAUAACAUUGUAAAUUAUUUAAUUUUCUGGUUAAAUUCCUUCUGUAGAAUUACUAAAUCCCCCAUGAUAUAAAAUGACAUUAAAAUAAAUUAUCUACUCUGGUUAUUUAA